UGGUUUUAUAGCAGAGUGGUGGAGAAAACAAACAUAACUAGAGAAGCUGGAAAUCUUCAUGAGAGAGGUAACUGAAGAAGGCCAGCAGAUGGAGAUUUUUGUGUGACUAUUUGUCGUCAUCUGUAUCAUGUAGGUGUGGCCAUUCAUGGAUUUUGAAGUUGUACUGAGAUUUUCUUAUCUGGGAAGGUGAUCUUCCAUUUGAGCACAAAGGAUAAAGUUGUUUCUUCUCACAUGCUGAAACUGCUAAAGAUUGCUCCAGUUAUUGUACUGCUCAAUACCUCUCAAUGCGACGAAUGGGUGAAAAGGACAAAGUUUCUCUUCAGAGGAACAGAAAGCAGCAAUGCAAAACUCCUUUCUGCAGAUGUUCAAAACCUAAAUCUAUGUUUAAAUGUUCUUCAUCUUUGUUUGCUCCCCAUCGGAGCCCUAGCUUGGAGUGAACCUAAAUCUAAAUAAACUCUCAGGUGUUUGAUCCA